CCUACGGGAGGCAGCAGUGGGGGAUAUUGCACAAUGGGGGAAACCCUGAUGCAGCGACGCCGCGUGGGUGAAGAAGCGCCUCGGCGCGUAAAGCCCUGUCAGCAGGGAAGAAAAUGACGGUAUCUGAAGAAGAAGCCCCGGCUAACUACGUGCCAGCAGCCGCGGUAAUACGUAGGGGGCAAGCGUUAUCCGGAUUUACUGGGUGUAAAGGGGGCGCAGACGGCGAUGCAAGCCAGGAGUGAACACCCGGGGCCCAACCCCGGGACUGCACUUGGAACUGCGUGGCUAGAGUGCAGGAGGGGCAGGCGGAAUUCCUGGUGUAGCGGUGAAAUGCGUAGAUAUCAAGAGGAACACCGGUGGCGAAGGCGGCCUGCUGGACUGCAACUGACGUUGAGGCCCGAAAGCGUGGGGAGCAAACAGGAUUAGAUACCCCUGUAGUU
rnacentral:rRNA from 1 species